GAUGAACGCUGGCGGCGUGCUUAACACAUGCAAGUCGAACGAAGCACUUUAUUUGAUUUCCUUCGGGACUGAUUAUUUUGUGACUGAGUGGCUGACGGGUGAGUAACGCGUGGGUAACCUGCCUUGUACAGGGGGAUAACAGUUGGAAACGGCUGCUAAUACCGCAUAAUCGCACAGCAUCGCAUGAUGCAGGGUGAAAAACUCCGGUGGUAUAAGAUGGACCCGCGUUGGAUUAGCUAGUUGGUGAGGUAACGGCCCACCAAGGCGACGAUCCAUAGCCGACCUGAGAGGGUGACCGGCCACAUUGGGACUGAGACACGGCCCAAACUCCUACGGGAGGCAGCAGUGGGGAAUAUUGCACAAUGGGCGAAAGCCUGAUGCAGCGACGCCGCGUGAGCGAAGAAGUAUUUCGGUAUGUAAAGCUCUAUCAGAAGGGAAGAUAAUGACGGUACCUGACUAAGAAGCACCGGCUAAAUACGUG
rnacentral:rRNA from 1 species